rnacentral:lncRNA from 1 species
UGGCCCAGGAAGAAUGGUUUGGCUACCAUUGAACCACAAGGGGAAGAGAGGAAAGGUACAGAACAGCUGGGUUUAAUGAGCUGGAACAGAUAAAAAUCACUCCCUGAGCACUGGAAAGCAGAAGGAGAACAAAGCCAAAUGUUCUUGCUGAGCAACACGGUGACCCUAUGAAGUCAGCUUCAGAGGCUCAUCCAGGAGUCACUUCCCCAUGGGCCUCCUCAAACAGGUCUACAAUUUGUUUCAGAACACCAGUGGUUUCAAUAGAUGCAUCCUUGCAUAAACCUGAAUCCCUGUUGCCACGAAAAUUAGCAGUGGAAAGCACCAGGUCCUUCUGCACAAGUGCUGGUGCAAAAUACAGACAGGGAGAAGAAAGCUGCUUGAUUACAGACAUGUAGGUAGAAGCCCUACAAAAGGCAGAGCAGCGCUGUUGGCUACUGCAGGCAGCACAGGGUGCGGCAGCAGAGACCUUUGGCUCAUCACCACUGUUCCAAGGGAGCUGUCUGCUGUCAUAAACGUGUUUCAUGUGAAGCCACAGGCAGUUGCCUCUUUGAUGUGCACUGCUGCCUUUCUCAAAUGGUGUGCUCCUUUCUGUGCAGUCACGGCAAAAGCAUCACUCUUAUCAGUUUGGACAAUGGAGCGGCUGUGGAGACAAAUCAGUUCUGUGCCUGUAGCAUGGGAGUGGGCUAAGACAUCACCUGAAUUUUAGUACUGAUAAUAAACUCAGCUGCUGCUGUACA